GUCCGCAACGAGCGCAACCCUUGUCCUUAGUUGCCACCAUUCAGUUGGGCGACUCUAAGGAGACUGCCGGUGUUAAACCGGAGGAAGGUGGGGAUGACGUCAAGUCCUCAUGGCCCUUAUAUCCAGGGCUACACACGUGCUACAAUGGCCGGUACAAAGGGUCGCAAUACCGCGAGGUGGAGCUAAUCCCAAAAAGCCGGUCUCAGUUCGGAUUGGAGUCUGCAACUCGACUCCAUGAAGUCGGAAUCGCUAGUAAUCGCGUAUCAGCGUGACGCGGUGAAUACGUUCCCGGGCCUU
rnacentral:rRNA from 1 species